rnacentral:rRNA from 1 species
UCCAGCAGCUUUAUCACCCUGCAUCCCACUGAGACUCAGCAGGUGUUGGCCUAACCAGUAUUUGGAUGGGGGACCUCCUGGGAAAGCUGAGGCUGCUGCUGGAA